rnacentral:rRNA from 1 species
AUUGAACGCUGGCGGCAGGCCUAACACAUGCAAGUCGAGCGGAGCGGCGGACGGGUGCGUAAUGCCUAGGAAUCUGCAUGGUAGUGGUGGAUAACGUCCGGAAACGGGCGCUAAUACCGCAUACUAUCAGAUGAGCCUAGGUCGGAUUCGCUAGUGGGUGGGGUAAAGGCCUACCAAGGCGACGAGCCGUAACUGGGCUGGGAGGUUGAGCAGUCACACUGGAACAGAGACACGGUCCAGACUCCUACGGGGGGCGGCAGUGGGGAAUAUUGGACAAUGGGCGAAAGCCUGAUCCAGCCAUGCCGCGUGUGUGAAGAAGGUCUUCGGAUUGUAAAGCACUUUAAGUUGGGAAGCGUUACCAACAGAAUAAGCACCGGCUAACUUCGUGCCAGCCGCCGCGGUAAUUC